CAGAGGGUCCCCCCCCCACCCGCCUCUUCUUCAAGGAGGCAUUGUGGGUUUGUGGGUUUUUUCCCCCCCACUAGGAAAGGAAGUGUCUACGUGGCCUGCGGAAAUAGGAUAGGCGGAAAUGAGCUAAGGUUCCCGCGAGUGGGGAAGAGCGAGGUCAAAUCUAGGGCCACGCCCCCGAGCCUGUUGCGCAACUCUCGGAGCAGGAAUGAAAAAGGCGCAAUGGAGGUUUUGAUAGAUGAGGACUGACUUUGACCAGUGUUUGCUGAUAUCUGUACUCCAAGCUAUGCCUUGAGAUGCUGCUUUGAACCAUUUUUCCAGAGGUUAUCACUCUACUGCAGAAGAAAUGUGGUUAACAAACAAGAGUGAGGGAGAACAACAUCUGAAGCCCAGCAACUCUGAGGAGCCUAAUGAAGAUCAAGAGGAAACCCA